GACUACCUCUGGGAAUCUGAGGGCCGGCCGGGAGACUGGGGAGUGAACCCAAGCUGGGCAGGCAGGAGCUGCCAAUGACUAACCUCCCCACAUCCUUUUCCCCUCAAGAUCUGAUUCAGCAUUAGCACAGAAAUAAUGUCAGAGGUGGUUGAGUCCAAACUUUCAUUCUGAGGUCUAGAGAGCAAGCAGAAAGCACAGAUCUGAUUCUUGAGGACCUUCCUAUGGUGUAGCCUUCAUCUGUUCCUGUAGGCCCUGUCACCUACUCCAGGCUGUCUGCCCAGUGCUAGAAUCAGGUGAGGCUGAGCAGCUCUCUUAAAACAAGACUCCCAAGAUCCAACAGCACUCACCUGAACUAAAGAUCCUCAGAGGCUGGGGUUAGAUCUUGAGCCAGGUCUGCUACUGAAUUCACUCUUCAAUUCUGGAGAACAUGAACUCAGCAUGUCUGACAUCAAGCAGGUGAUUCCUGCACCUGGGCGGCUCCUGAAAGAAGCCUGAGUGUGUCUUCCCUUGGAAUGUGGGCUUGGGCAGAGGUGGUUUCCAGAUGGCCGAUUUCCAGAUUUUAGUCUAAGAUAAGGAAACUGAGGCUCAGAGAGUGCAUCAGGCAGACGAGCGCAGACCACAUCCUUGAGAUAUUCCUCAUGUGUGUAGUUUUGGGGCUGAGCUUCUCCCAGGGCUAGGAACAUAGCUUGAGGCAGGCCUGUCAUUGGGAUAAAUCUGCUGUAACCUCUCUCUGUCUCCUUUCUUCCUUCCUUCCCCAAGCUGCUGCUCUUGCUGCCCCGUAGGCUGUGCCAAGUAUGCCCAGGGCUAUGUCUGCAAAGGGGCAUCAGGCCAAUGCUGCUGCUGUGCCUGAUGUGGGAGAGUCUGCUUCCCCAGGUACAGUGAGUGAUGUGUACAAAUUAGGGUUUUUUCAUAUCCC